AAUACAUUUGUUACGACGCAUAUCUUUUUUUUUUUUACAUAUUAGUUAUUAAUCAAUUUUCACUAUUUCAUUCAAAUUUUAUUGUUAAUGAUAUUUGUGUUUCGCAUUCUGUGAUAUUCAUUAUAUUUCUCUGUUUAAACUCAUCAUAAAAAUGUCCAGUGAUUAUAUCAUAAGCUCUAGUAUGACAAUAAUUUCAGAAAAAAAAGUUGACAUAACAAAAGUGCGCGAAAUUAAAAUGUAAACAGAGUGGCUUCGAAAUUAUUCGUAAUCUAUCAAGAAAAGAUACAUUUUUGGCAGUUGAUCAAAGUAUGGCGGGGAAAUCCAUAUGGAAAAGGAAAUGUGAAUUGUUGUGUCCAGUUUCAUUCUAUGCUUUAGAAAAUGCAUUAAGAUGAAGUAUAAGAUAUAAGGAAACUUCUAUGUGCACAUUUUGACUAAAAAUUGAUUUUGGGCUCUCCUUGCUCAAUAUGCCGAUCCAAAUGGCCCCUUACUUCAUUGAAUCCAUGACUCCCUUUUCUUACUGACUACACUAAUAAGAAGAGGGAAAUGACUGGAAUAGAAAUUAUAAAUGAUUUUACUCUGAUUUUGAUUAGAUCAAUCUCCACACCCGAACAUGAAAUAUUUUUAUUAGGCCUGAGUAUAUAUUAAAAUGACUUUUUUACAUUGGGCUUAUGCUCAGUAGAAGAAUUCGCCAACUGACGUGGGAGCAUUAUUGUAAUGGAAGUCAAAUCUGGCAUGAUGCCCAUUUUAAAAUGCAUUACACAUCUUCUGUUCCUUCUGUAGAAGUAAUAUAUCACAGUGAUGCAAAUGCAAGUACCAAAAGUCUAUCAGCUCUCAGCUGGUCUAAUUUUUGGUAUCCAUUUAGUUAGUCAUUUUGUUGGAUUUAUUAUAAGAAAAGGAACUGUUUGAAAACACAGGUUUGCUUUUACAAUGAGGAUAAUAACUGUGUUGAAUCUAAAUGUUGUUUCCCUUUGUAUGGAUUUUCUGCAGAAAUUAAAACUACUCUUAAAGGUUUGAAGUUAAGUAGCAGUUUUUAAUUUUGUUCAAAUGAAUGAACUUGAAGUGGAAAUGAAGUUUAAAUACUG